UACGAAGGGGGCGGGCGUUGUUCGGAAUUACUGGGCGUAAAGGGUCUGUAGGUGGCCAACUAAGUCAGACGUGAAAUCCCUCAGCUUAACUGGGGAACUGCGUCUGAUACUGGAUGGCUUGAGUGUGGGAGAGGAAUGCGGAAUUCCAGGUGUAGCGGUGAAAUGCGUAGAUAUCUGGAGGAACACCGGUGGCGAAGGCGGCAUUCUGGACCAUAACUGACACUGAGAGACGAAAGCCAGGGGAGCAAACGGG
rnacentral:rRNA from 1 species